AAAAUUAGGGUUUUAGCGUUCUAUAUCCAACUCGUCUCGAUAUCCAACUCCGCCUUCAGGUCAUUGAGAGAAGCCGCAGCCUCGAGAUCAAACAGGAAGCAAAAUGGUACGUUUUCUUUUAGUUUGUUGCACUUUGCUUUUCACUGAAUUCACCCUUUCUCUUAGUCAGGUGUUAUGUAAGGUUUCGGUUUCUCAGUAAAUUUGAGAAAAAAGUUGAAUGGAGAUUUAGAAUAUUAGUAUCAUUUGUGUGAGCUUACAGCUUUCGUAUAUGUUUGAUGAUAGCUAAAGGAAGUACUUUGAAUUGCAUAUAUAUACCAUGCAGCUGAUUUAUAGCUAAUUUUUGUUUCCCGAUGAUUUGGGUGUAUAUUGACCAAUUUCAAUUUUGAUUUGUGGAGGACAUGAUAGAUAUUUAAGUUAAAAACUAAAGAUCAAAAUUAUUUUAAAAGGUUUAGUAUUUGGUUCCAAUUUAGAAUGGACCUCAAUGAUUUUGUGUUUUGGAGCUGAAUACAAAAGCAGUGGUUCAUACAGUUACGAUUCUGGAAAAUGAACAGCUUGUUGUGUGUUUCCUUUGAAGCAUGUCUGACCAUGGUUUGUAUAAUGUUUUUUCCUGGUGUCCCACCCAUUGUUCUUGUAUCUUUCUGGCAAUAUGGAUUUAAUCCUCAUGAAAAGAAAAAGAAGAAGAAGUAAUUGACACACUAAUAAUCUGGUAUAGCUGUGUCAAGUGAUGGAUGGUAGAUGUUAAAACAUGCGAACAUACAAGCCUUGUUGGUUUUAAAUUUGAGAAUGUUAAUGUAUGUACUCUGUCUCUGUGCUAACAGCCGAAGCAAAUCCACGAGAUUAAGGAUUUCCUUCUAACUGCAAGAAGGAAGGAUGCACGCUCUGUCAAAAUCAAGAGGAGCAAAGAUGCUGUCAAGUUUAAGGUUCGAUGCUCCAAGUACCUUUACACUCUUUGCGUGUUUGAUUCGGAGAAGGCCGACAAGUUGAAGCAAUCCCUUCCUCCAGGUAUAGCAUUUCGUUUUCAGUUGUGUCAUUUAUUAUGAUUUGCAACUCGCAUAUGGUCAUCUCUGUGAAUUUAGGUGUAUGAGAAAGCAUGCACACAUGUGGUUCCUAUUGUUUUAAUAUUCCAGUAAUGGAAGAAUCAAGGGACUUUCUUUCUUUCUUUUGUUUUUUUGUUUGUUUUUAAGGCUCACUUGUAUAACUAACAACUAGUUUGCAAUAAUUUUGUAUUUGUAGGUUUGAGCGUGCAGGACCUGUGAAGAAGAGAUUUGAGUAGCUUGACAAAAUCUAAGGAAUGCAAUGGAUUUGUUUUUUGUUGGGAAUUUUGAAGAAUUUAUGGAUUCAUGCCCUGGUAUUUGGGGUAUAUGUGUGGACUUAAGUUUUAUUUUAGUGGUUUUAUUUAUGGAUAUCUUGUUUGAAAUUUAGCACUUGGGUCUCAUUUGAGACUGCUUCUCUAGGAAGUACUUCUGCGCAUAAGCGUGUUCAUUAUAAAAAUCUUGAAUUUUCAUAAAAAAAAUCAAGAAGCAACAAGUAC
rnacentral:lncRNA from 1 species